GGCGGAAUGCUUUACACAUGCAAGUCGAACGGCAGCACGGACUUCGGUCUGGUGGCGAGUGGCGAACGGGUGAGUAAUGUAUCGGAACGUAUCCAGUAAUGGGGGAUAACUAAUCGAAAGGUUGGCUAAUACCGCAUACGCCCUACGGGGGAAAGCAGGGGAUCUUCGGACCUUGCGUUAAUGGAGCGGCCGAUAUCUGAUUAGCUAGUUGGUGAGGUAAGAGCUCACCAAGGCGACGAUCAGUAGCUGGUCUGAGAGGACGACCAGCCACACUGGAACUGAGACACGGUCCAGACUCCUACGGGAGGCAGCAGUGGGGAAUUUUGGACAAUGGGCGCAAGCCUGAUCCAGCCAUUCCGCGUGAGUGAAGAAGGCCUUCGGGUUGUAAAGCUCUUUCGCAAGGGAAGAAACGAUGCAGACGAAUAAUCUGUGUUAAUGACGGUACCUUGAUAAGAAGCACCGGCUAACUACGUGCCAGCAGCCGCGGUAAUACGUAGGGUGCAAGCGUUAAUCGGAAUUACUGGGCGUAAAGCGUGCGCAGGCGGUUUUGUAAGUCAGAUGUGAAAUCCCCGAGCUCAACUUGGGAACUGCGUUUGAAACU
rnacentral:rRNA from 1 species